GUGUUGUUUGGAUCGUCCCUGCCGGCUGGCUCCGUGCCCGUCCACCGAACAGUCGGUAGGCGAUUCGCGUCGGUCGCGCGAGGUGGUAUGGUUCCCCUGAGGUUGGUUCUUGUGUUGCCUACCCUUCAAGGAGAAGCAGGCCUCCUGACGGUUGAAAGCCUCCAUCCGGUGCCCUCCAGCGGGCGCAGGAGGACAAUGUAGCACCCUUCGCGUUCCACCGAACCCUCGCUGAUCGCGUGGCCCGCGGGUACGUGCAAUGCUCUCAGACCUAGUGCACACUGUGGGCGAGGACUCACGUCCUGGUCCCAAGAGAAAGCCUCAGUACAACGCUGACGGCCGUUGCCCCCCCGACCACCCCGGCGGUGAGGGGGCGCAGCGCGACAUCGUGGAGGAAUGCUACCU
rnacentral:misc_RNA from 1 species